CCCAGUCAGACCCUUCCCCCUUCUCCCCAGGCCAUGGUGGGCAGGUGGCCACUUCCGUUGCUGCCUGUGUCUGAGGACAUUGGCCCAGGGUUGGCAAGAAGAGGAAGGUGUUGCAUCAACAUGCAGCACAUUCACCUGACAAGGAGCUGGCCGCAGCCUCCGCUGCCAAACGGUGACGGUGCUGGCUGGUGCCCCCAGGAGCUGUUCACCACCUCCCGGGCUAAUGGCGCUUGCUGCCUGGCACACAGCAGGUGACUACACUGCAUGGCUUAUAAAUGUGGCCUCUGCCAGGAAAUCCUGGGAAAGAGCCAGGGAGGUGACGUUUUAUCCACGAGCCUGCUAUGGCUUAGCCUAGCCCUCCCCUAACUGUGACCAAGCUCUGGAUGAGACACAGACAACUACUGAGGACCUGCAAAGUAAGGAGACUGCAGGGCGGAGGCGGAACUUGGAGGAGUGACCUGCCGUGGAGUUUCUGGUUUCCUCCUUGUGGCUUUGUCUGGAGGGCAAGCCCCACUCUCAGAUCCACAUGGCAACACAAGCAGCUAAAACGCAGAUAGAAACCCCAACCUGGGAAAAGGAGUCCUACAGCAACUUUUCAGAAGCUUCAGAAGAAGGACGCCGGAGAAUGCCCGCCCGGGACUCCGAGGUGCCCUGUGCUCAUGGAUUGGUCCUCCUGGCUCCAUGAGUGUGAAAACGGGGUUUCACCAUGUCGACCAGCCUGAUCUCAAACUCCCGACCUCAGCUGAUCCACCCACCUCGGUCUCCCAAAGUGCUGUGAUGAGUGCCCGUGAGCCACCGCGCCCAGCCUCAAAGCUAACUUUUGGGGACGUUGGAUGAAGAGUCCACAGGAACUUUUCUACUGUUUUUGCAACUUGUUAAAACCCUGUAAUUACUUCAAAAUGAAAAGUUAAAAAAUGAUCUUUUAAAAAAGAGUUAAUACUUGCAGUAUAUAAAGGACUCUUGAAAAUCAAUGAGAAGAUGAAUGUCCUGUGGAGAGCACAUGGGCCGCGAUGCUCCGGGAAAGAAUGGCACAGAGCACAAGAGAAACAGCUCACGGGCACCACUGAUUAGAGAAAUGCCAAGGCACUCAAUGACGGCCAAUGAUGGCGUUUGAAAACAUUAGACUGCAAACUAGUGUUUACACCGUAAGGGUGCUCUCGUGUUGCUGGGGAGAGGGGGACGAGCAUAGCUCGCCUGCAGAGCAGUUUGGCAACUUAUCAAAAGUCCAAGCUGUGACCUUUCUCUUUUUGACCCCUACGCUGGAUGUCUCCACCCCAAAGCCCCCUCCCAGUUUGUACCUGGAUACUGAACUGUAGGGACCCCCAGGACCUCUGGCUCUCAGCUGGUGCAGCCAAGGGGAGGCUGGGCAGGAGACCAGGUGGACGGCUCCCACCCAAAGGAUGCCCCAGGUUGGGGGACAGGGCAGGACACCCCCUGAUCUUGGAGGUAAAGUCAUGUCUUACCCCAACCCCAAAGGUGCCCUACAUGCCACCCAUGGGGUGAGAGUAAUAUGGCAGCCACUGCCUGUCUCACUGAUGUCCAGCCUGGACCAUCUGAGGGGAGGGGAGGGAACUCAGGAAGCAGAGGUCGUGCUGCUCUCUGGAUCCCCCCAUCCUGUCUCCACCCCUGUGUCAGGGGGUUUCGGGUACCCUGGGGCCCUGACAGCCAAUCCCACCAGGAGCAGGGCCAUUUCCUGCCCAUGAAACUCCUACUAGGACCUGUGGGACCCGAGGGUGACUAACAAAGCUGUCCCAGAUAACACCACCAUGGAAGGGGUUGGAGAGCAGGGCCGCCGCUUAGUCCAAAGGAACACAGACAUCUGAAGGAUGGAUUCUAGGCUGUGUGGGCUCCGCGACCUGAAAGGCAGCGCAUUGGAUAGGCCUGAUUCUGGUUCUGGUUAAAGGUGGAGAAGUCUCCCUGAGCCCAGGAGGCUGAGCGGAUCACAGGGGCACCUUGAGAGGGAAGAUCGAUUUUUAGGGUAUGGCCCAGCCUUCCCUCAGGGCUGAGCAGAUCCACAGUUUUGAGAACACGGCUGAAAGGCGGGCACACACUCACACACGCAUGCACACACACACCCC
rnacentral:lncRNA from 1 species